rnacentral:rRNA from 1 species
GCUCAGACAGCCAGGAUGUUGGCUUAGAAGCAGCCAUCAUUUAAAGAAAGCGUAAUAGCUCACUGGUCGAGUCGGCCUGCGCGGAAGAUUUAACGGGGCUAAGCUAUACACCGAAGCUGCGGCAAUGAAGUUUACUUCAUUGGGUAGGGGAGCGUUCUGUAAGCCGUUGAAGGUGAAUCGUAAGGUUUGCUGGAGGUAUCAGAAGUGCGAAUGCUGACAUGAGUAACGAUAAAGGGAGUGAAAAACUCCCUCGCCGGAAGAUCAAGGGUUCCUGUCCAACGUUAAUCGGGGCAGGGUAAGUCGACCCCUAAGGCGAGGCCGAAAGGCGUAGUCGAUGGGAAACGGGUUAAUAUUCCCGUACUUCUUAUAAUUGCGAUGGAGGGACGGAGAAGGCUAGGUGAGCCUGGCGACGGUUGUCCAGGUCCAAGUAUGUAGGCUGAUGGUUUAGGCAAAUCCGGACCAUCUUAAGGCUGAGAUACGAUGUCGAGUCACUACGGUGACGAAGUCAUUGAUGCCAUGCUUCCGGGAAAAGCUUCUAAGCUUCAGAUUAUAAGAAAUCGUACCCCAAACCGACACAGGUGAUCAGGUAGAGAAUACCAAGGCGCUUGAGAGAACUCGGGUGAAGG